rnacentral:rRNA from 1 species
AUACGUAGGUGGCAAGCGUUACUCGGAAUUACUAGGCGUAAAGCGCGUGCAGGCGGAUGCUUAAGUCUGUAGUUUAAUCUCCCGGCUCAACCGGGAAAGGUCUGCGGAUACUGAGCAUCUGGAGUGGGACAGAGGAAGCUGGAAUUCCCGGUGUAGCGGUGAAAUGCGUAGAUAUCGGGAAGAACACCGGCGGCGAAGGCGGGCUUCUGGGUCCUUACUGACGCUGAGACGCGAAAGCUAGGGGAGCAAACAGGAUUAGAUACCCUGGUAGUCCUAGCCGUAAACGAUGGAAACUAGGUGUGGGAGGUAUCGACCCCUUCCGUGCCGACGCUAACGCAUUAAGUUUCCCGCCUGGGGAGUACGGCCGCAAGGUUAAA